rnacentral:miRNA from 1 species
CGGACUUGAAUACGCGUAUUU